UUUUUUUCAUAUUUUAAACCUACAUGAAAGGAAGUGUGCUUGUUGACGAUGGUUAUUGUUGCUGAAUCCAUAUCCUGGUUCAGACUUAUAUUUUGCUAUUCUUAGGUGGCGGGCUUAUACGGCAUCGCGAGCAGGAGGGCCAUGAGGGGUUUGCUGCUCUUCUCCUAGGGCGACCAAGAGGUCCUGCCCCGAGCUCAAGCACGUCCAUGCCGACCCACCACGACAGAUGACCAAGCCCAAGGAGGAAGCAGCUACUCAUCACUGAGGACAAGUAAAUCCAGCAGGUGAAGUAUGAAGUGUGAAGCCGUGAAGCCUAUCAGCAAGAGUAGCAUAUUAUGUAUUGUAAUAUCAGGCAGAGUGUAAUAUUAGUCAGAGUAGCAUAUUAUGUAUUGUAAUAUUUAAUGUUGUUUUGGAUGAAUUUCAUUUGCUCUAUAAUCUGUUUGAAACAUUGAUUGUGUAUAUAAUUUCAAUACCUAUGAAAUGGAAACCUGACCAGGGGGACCCACUUAUGUAAA